rnacentral:lncRNA from 1 species
GAGGCGUGAGGGCUGAAUGAGAGUAAUCAUUGAAUUCAAUUGUUGAAUCAAGCCGCCCCUCCUCCUCUUCCUUUUCUUCAGCCGCAAGGAAAGCAAUCUAGAGUUCUCUUCCUUCUUCUUCCUUCUUCCUCCUCUUGGAAGCAAUCAAGAAUUGAUUGCUUAGAGAAGUUUCCAACCUUCAAGAGAGGAUCUCUGCAAGGGAACUAGCACCCCGGUGAGAUCAAGAUGCUUGGAGC